GAAUCUUAUCAGCAUAAACAACAAAGCACUGCGGCAUUUUGAAGCUUAAUACAUGAAGUACAGCAUGAGCUUCCUUGGACCACAACCAAAAACAUUUUUUGAUUGUCAGAUGAAUGAAGUGUUAUUCCAACCUUCAGGUGAUUUCCACACUGGUAUAUAGCUUCCCAUCAACAAGAUGCAGUAUCAUGACGAUGAAGAUAGAGAGGUGAUCCUGGAACCUAAACCCAGCGAUAAUUGAGGGAACACUGUACCAGGUUGAAUUAAAAGAAGAGCUGUUCCACAGUGAAAUGGACUGAAAGUAGUGCAUGAUCGUACACUGGAAGAUUUUGAACACAGGUUGGAUUACCAGCUCUGAGGGAUGCUCUAGCUAUGGAUUUCUACACUGAAAUGGGGUUGGAUUUGAUAGGGAUUGGAUUAGAUAGAUGGCCUUUAGGAUUUCUUCCUCCUCCAUUAUGAUUUCUGCUGUAUAAAGUGAGCUGAGUAAGUGGAGAAAAGUGGUAAUGAAUAGAGAUAUCCCAUGGAAGCCACAUGUCUAUUAAAUCUGAUGCUUCCACUUUUCUCUCCUGGCUAUAUAGUCUCUGGCACAACUGGUGGGGAACCAGAGUAUAAGACAACUGGGUCUACUGGUCCAGUACAGCUUGGGAAUUGCUGCUUCCAGCAUGUGCUGUGUGCUAGCAACAAUCACUUAAAUGGAAAAACAAACAUUUGUAAAGGGAAGUAACCAAGAACAGAUGAGAUGUGCUUCGACUAAGGACGCUGUGUGGAAACAAAUAUGUAUAUUUGCUGGAACGCGGUGUACAAGUUUUAAUGAGCCUCCCACCCAAUUACCAUUGCAUGAAUGCCAGGCAAUGACAGCAGGGUGGCACAAGAGGCUCCUUUGGCUGGAGGAAAGCGGGUGAAGAGAGACAGAGGUCCAUAAGACAGUAAUUGGCCCAUGCGCCUCAGAGGGCAGCGGCUGGAAAAUCAGUGACUGUGUCCCCUCAGUGCCAGCACUUCCCCGUCUCCUCUCUCCUGCCCCCCCUCCCCCCUUCUAAGCAUAGAGCUCCCUUUGCACAGAUUCAGAAGAAAAGAAUGACAUUUACAUGCUGUGUGCUGAGAUCCCAAUUACAGCUAGGACAGCUCACCACAUGGCAUGCUUUAAUUAAUAUGCCUUUUCCUGUUGGAGAACAGCUUCGCUGACAGAUUGCAACUAAGUGGGGAGAGCAGCUGCUCCCAGGCAAGCUGCUCCUUCCACCAGCUUCAGCUCAGGGCAGCCAAGGUCUGGCCCCUGCCCUUCCAGGGGUUGGCUACUUGCACCCUGGGUGCGUGUGGGGUGGGAACCACUGGGGAGGCAUGGUUUUUUCAUUUUGUUUUCGCCUGCCCAUACUAUUCAGCUGAUUUAGAGAUAGGGAAAGUUACUUUUCGGAAUAUAACUCCCAGAAUCUUGCAGCCAAUGUGUAGCCUUCCUAAAUUCUGAUUCCUGGGUUGGGUUUGCUGGAGUUAGAACUGAGACAGGAUUGAACUGCAUACUCUAAUUGUAGCUUGGUUCAACUGUAUUUCUAUAGGAACAUAGGCGGUGAAGACUACCUUAAUAAUUUCUUAUUCUGCCUUGGUCAGACAUUAAACCACAUAUAAACACACAGCAGAAAGGGACAAAGCAACAAUGAGAAUAGAUUCAACAGGAAAAUUUAAAAGGAGGGUUUGCAAUAUAACAGCCAAGAAAAGCUAGAUGAAAAUCAUGGAGAAUCUAAAAUAGCUUUCAGGUGCAGAAGAAUCUGAACUAGGUCAAAGCAGGCCCUACCUUCUAAUCAUUACCUGGAAAAAAGUUACGUUUCUCUAGGAACAGUCUCCUCCAACCUGGUGCCCUCCAGAUCUGUUGGAUAACCAAUUCCCAUAAUUCCCCAUCACGAAACUGGCUGCAUUAUGGGAGUUGUAGUCACAACAUCUGGAUAGUUUCAACUUGGACAAGUUCAUUAAACAGUUCAUUUGAUUUUUUUUCAUUCUAUGUCUUGAUGAGGUUUAAGAAGAGCUGAAGAUCCUCUUUAUUCCAUUUCCUUGAGACAAAGGGGUAUAUUUUUCAUUAGUAAAUGCUUCACUGUAAAAAAUAUAUAUAUACACGUGUUCUCCUGAAGCUACCUACUUUCCGUUUUUGAAAAGGGACUGUGCUCACACAAAGGAAGCAAUCUGAUAAUUUGGGGAAAUUCCAGCUAACAGUUCUCGGUUCAGAGCAAAUUUAAUAUAUAUUGGCUCUUAUUUCCAAUCAAUUACUAGGGGCAAAAAUAAUAUCUAAAGAUUGGGAAGAUGUCAUAAAUUAAGAUGUUUUUUAUAGCAUAGCAAAGUCAUUCAAUGGCACCGAGAUGUUUUGCAGCCUGGGAAGCUGCUGAAUGGAACUCAGCUCUGCUUUCCAUGCCUGAAAGCUAUUAAUUGUGGAUUUAUGUUUGAGUGGUACUUAAGUCUAGAAUUAAGCUGUGCUUUAUAUGACUAAUUGAAGUGUGUCCAAACUGGUUAAGAACUAUCAGACACUGCUAUUUUGAGGGUUCCCUUUCUAUUUGCUACUCCGAUGAAUGAAAAGUUUUGUUCUAUAUUGAAUUUGGCUAUCAUAUUAAAAUGAUUUUCCACCUUUACUGUAGGAGGUACUCUCACCUACACACUUUUUAAAUUUCAAGA